AUUGAACGCUGGCGGCAGGCCUAACACAUGCAAGUCGAGCGAGCGGCGGACGGGUGAGUAAUGUCUGGUAAACCGCCUGAUGCAGGGGGAUAACUACUGGAAACGGUAGCUAAUACCGCAUAACAUCAGCUGUGCCCAGAUGGGAUUAGCUAGUAGGUGGGGUAACGGCUCACCUAGGCGAGUAUCCCUAGCUGGUCUGAGAGGAUGACCAGCCACACUGGAACUGAGACACGGUCCAGACUCCUACGGGAGGCAGGAGUGGGGAAUCUUGCGCAAUGGGCGAAAGGCUGACGCAGCAAUGCCGCGUGGGUGAAGAAGGCCUUCGGGUUGGAAAGCUCUUUUAUCCGGGAGGCGUUACCCGCCGAAGAAGCACCGGCUAACUACGUGCCAGCAGCCGCGGUAAUAC
rnacentral:rRNA from 1 species